AUAAGGAGGUUGGAAGAGGAGAAGAACCUAGGGCUUCCUUCCACAACGUAAUAUGUCGCAUAACGCGCCGUAAUACUACACCAGACGACGACGAAGAAGAAGAAGAAGAAGAAGAAGAAGAGUGCCAGAUCCAUCCUUGGCAUCAAAAAUAAGAAUCAUCAUCUCGGGUGGACGCGUGGCAAACUUCCUCUUAGCACGUGACGACUGGUAAAGUAAGUAAGCAGCCAACAUCCAACUAUAACUUCUUUCUCUACCUAUUUCUAUCUUCGUCGUUGAACUUGACCGAUCGUGAUGGAAGAAGAAGAAGCCUCUGAUCACGUUACUUUAAGAACCCUUUAAUGUCUAUUAUUUACAACAACAAUAAAAAGAAAAAAAAGAAACGAAGAAAAUAGAAAAUAUUGGUAAUGAU